rnacentral:lncRNA from 1 species
CCACCUUUUCUUGAAGAGGCAUAUUCAUGGGAAACACCUUAUUGGAGCUCAUAGGAACUGUGGCGAUGGUGGAAUUGCUUUUCUUGUCAAAUAUUCUACAUUUUUCAUCAUAAAAAAAAACAGAAUAUCCUUUGCGUAGCAGUUGUCCAACACUAAGGAGGUUACUAGUCAAAUUAGGCACAUAAAGAACAUCACCAAUGAGCUUUUUGUUACCUCCUUUAGUUUGAACAGCGAUGGUUCCCUUUCCUUCAGUGCGAUGUAAC